UAGGGAAUAUUAGUAAUGGGCGAAAGCCUGAACUAGCAACACCGCGUGUGCGAAGAAGGCCUUCGGGUUGUAAAGCACUUUUUGAGGGGAUGAGGCAGGACAGUACCCUCAGAAUAAGCCUCGGCUAACUACGUGCCAGCAGCCGCGGUAACACGUAGGAGGCGAGCGUUAUUCGGAUUUACUGGGCGUAAAGCGCGUGCAGGCGGCUCGAUAAGUUGGAUGUGAAAGCUCCCGGCUUAACUGGGAGAGGUCGUUCAAUACUGUCGGGCUAGAGGAUGGGAGAGGGAGGUGGAAUUCCGAGUGUAGUGGUGGAAUGCGUAGAUAUUCGGAGGAACACCAGUGGCGAAAGCGGCCUCCUGGCCCAUAUCUGACGCUCAGACGCGAAAGCUAGGGUAGCAAACC
rnacentral:rRNA from 1 species